GGAGUUAGCCGGUGCUUCUUCUGUGAGUGAUGUCCUUCCUGCCGGCUAUUAACCCGCAGGCCUUCUUCCUCACUGAAAGUGCUUUACAACCCGAAGGCCUUCUUCACACACGCGGCAUGGCUGGAUCAGGGUUGCCCCCAUUGUCCAAUAUUCCCCACUGCUGCCUCCCGUAGGAGUCUGGGCCGUGUCUCAGUCCCAGUGUGGCUGAUCAUCCUCUCAGACCAGCUACGGAUCGUCGCCUUGGUGAGCCGUUACUUCACCAACCAGCUAAUCCGACAUAGGCUCAUCCGAUAGCGCGAGGCCCGAAGGUCCCCCGCUUUCCCCCGUAGGGCGUAUGCGGUAUUAGCCUGGGUUUCCCCAGGUUAUCCCCCACUACCGGGCAGAUUCCUAUGCAUUACUCACCCGUCCGCCGCUCGCCACCAGGGAGCAAGCUCCCCGUGCUGCCGCUCGACUUGCAUGUGUUAGGCCUGCCGCCAGCGUUCAAUCUGAACCAGAUCAAAUUCNGA
rnacentral:rRNA from 1 species